ensembl:lncRNA
GCCGCCGCGGCAGCCCAGCGGGCCCAGUCCCGAGGAGGCGGUGCUGCCGCCUCUCUGCCUGUGACUGGCCGGCGGCGCUGCCGCUCAGUCCCGGCAGGGCGGGGAGGAGGCGAGCGGUGUAAACAAGGAGAGAGGGAGGGUGGCUCGAUGUCAGCGGGUCACAUGGAGUCUCCUAUGGGCCCGGGGAAGGAGGCGGUGGCGGGCUGUCAGCUGGCAGGCGGCAGAUGCUGCUGAGGCGGUGGUACAAGGACAGGGGCCCGGCCAGCGCGCACCCAGCCCAUCCUCGGGGCUCUGCUCCCCGCCGCGUCGCCCUGACAAAUGAUGUGUUUUGUGAUCGCCGCGAUGAAAGCUCAAAUUGAAAUUAUUCCAUGCAAGAUCUGUGGAGACAAAUCAUCAGGAAUCCAUUAUGGUGUCAUUACAUGUGAAGGCUGCAAGGGCUUUUUCAGGAGGAGUCAGCAAAGCAAUGCCACGUACUCCUGUCCUCGUCAGAAGAACUGUUUGAUUGACCGAACAAGUAGAAACCGUUGCCAACACUGUCGAUUGCAGAAAUGCCUUGCUGUGGGGAUGUCUCGAGAUGCUGUAAAGUUUGGUCGAAUGUCAAAAAAACAGAGGGACAGCUUGUACGCAGAGGUGCAGAAACAUCGAAUGCAGCAGCAACAGCGAGAUCACCAACAGCAACCUGGAGAGGCAGAACCACUGACACCAACAUACAGUAUCACCACCAACGGGCUAACAGAGCUACAUGAUGACCUCAGUAAUUACAUUGAUGGGCAUACCCCUGAAGGUAGCAAAGCAGACUCUGCAGUUAGCAGCUUCUACUUAGACAUACAACCUUCUCCAGAUCAGUCGGGUCUUGAUAUUAAUGGAAUCAAACCAGAACCAAUAUGUGACUACACACCAGCAUCGGGCUUCUUCCCUUAUUGUUCUUUUACAAAUGGGGAGACCUCGCCAACUGUGUCCAUGGCAGAAUUAGAACAUCUUGCACAGAAUAUUUCAAAGUCACACAUGGAAACUUGCCAGUACUUGAGAGAAGAGCUGCAGCAGAUAACAUGGCAGACUUUUCUGCAGGAAGAAAUUGAGAACUACCAGAACAAGCAGAGGGAGGUAAUGUGGCAGUUAUGUGCAGUCAAAAUAACAGAAGCUAUACAGUAUGUCGUGGAGUUUGCCAAACGCAUUGAUGGCUUUAUGGAACUGUGUCAAAAUGAUCAAAUCGUGCUUUUAAAAGCAGGAUCUUUAGAGGUUGUGUUUAUCAGAAUGUGCCGUGCCUUUGACUCCCAAAACAACACAGUAUACUUUGAUGGCAAGUACGCUAGCCCAGAUGUUUUCAAGUCACUAGGUUGUGAAGACUUCAUUAGUUUUGUGUUUGAAUUUGGAAAGAGCUUAUGUUCUAUGCACCUGACAGAAGAUGAGAUUGCUUUGUUUUCUGCAUUUGUUUUAAUGUCUGCAGAUCGUUCAUGGCUUCAGGAGAAGGUAAAAAUCGAAAAACUCCAACAGAAGAUUCAGCUAGCACUUCAGCACGUCCUGCAGAAGAAUCACCGAGAAGAUGGAAUUCUAACAAAGUUAAUAUGCAAAGUGUCUACUUUAAGAGCACUGUGUGGACGACAUACAGAAAAACUUAUGGCAUUUAAAGCAAUAUACCCAGACAUUGUACGACUUCAUUUUCCUCCAUUGUACAAGGAGUUAUUCACUUCAGAAUUUGAGCCAGCAAUGCAGAUUGAUGGGUAA